CACGCAGGCGGUUGGAUAAGUUAGAUGUGAAAGCCCCGGGCUCAACCUGGGAAUUGCAUUUAAAACUGUCCAGCUAGAGUCUUGUAGAGGGGGGUAGAAUUCCAGGUGUAGCGGUGAAAUGCGUAGAGAUCUGGAGGAAUACCGGUGGCGAAGGCGGCCCCCUGGACAAAGACUGACGCUCAGGUGCGAAAGCGUGGGGAGCAAACAGGAUUAGAUACCCCCGUA
rnacentral:rRNA from 1 species